CCUUGGCCUGCCUUCCCUCUGCGCUCCGCAAAGAUCUCUCCACGUGCGCCAUCAUGUCACCCCUCGAGGCCGCCCUGCCCGUUCUUUGUUGGAGAGGAGAAGAACCUGGAAUCCAGCUCCAGAAGGAGAGGUGCAGGGCUUGGACUGUUUUUCUGCGCAUGUCCUGGAUCUCGGCGGCUGACAGGCCGCGCCCACUCGCCCGACCUGCUGGCCACGCCCUAAUCUCCUGCCUCAGGGCCACACCGAAAAGAAAAAACAAGCCUAGGGAGUAAAGACAUGGAAUACAAAUACGAAUAACCUUGCUUAACUUUGCAGUCUUCUUAACAGUUUUAAAAUUAUGAUUUUUAUGUCUCCUUUCUACUCUCUGUUUCUUCUAUCCUACCUCAGCAGCACUUCCCUAAAAGUUUGCUUUCUUUGUUGAAGAAGCUAUAUAUAAAUUAAUAAACUCUCCUUUUCUUCCUCUCUCUCCAGUCCUGGUGAUCAAACCCAGGACCACACGCCAGGCAAGUGCUCUAUCACUGAGCUACACCUCC
rnacentral:lncRNA from 1 species